GUGUUCUAACUCCCUCAGGGGCUGUGUUGUCGCACUGUCUGCUGCUAUGAGCUUCCUCAAAAGUUUCCCGCCUCCUGGGCCGGCGGAGGGGCUCCUGUGGCAACAACCAGACACCGAGGCUGUGCUGAACGGGAAGGGCCUCGGCACUGGUACCCUUUACAUCGCUGAGAGCCGCCUGUCUUGGUUAGAUGGUUCUGGAUUAGGAUUCUCACUGGAAUACCCCACCAUUAGUUUACAUGCAUUAUCCAGGGACCGAAGUGACUGUCUAGGAGAGCAUUUGUAUGUUAUGGUGAAUGCCAAAUUUGAAGAAGAAUCAAAAGAACCUGUUGCUGAUGAAUAAGAGGAAGACAGUGAUGAUGAUGUUGAACCUAUUACUGAAUUUAGAUUUGUGCCUAGUGAUAAAUCAGCAUUGGAGGCGAUGUUCACUGCAAUGUGCGAGUGCCAGGCCUUGCAUCCAGAUCCUGAGGAUGAGGAUUCAGAUGACUACGAUGGAGAAGAAUAUGAUGUGGGAAGCACAUGAACAAGGACAGGGGGACAUCCCUACAUUUUACACCUAUGAAGAAGGAUUAUCCCAUCUAACAGCAGAAGGCCAAGCCACAUUGGAGAGAUUAGAAGGAAUGCUCUCUCAGUCUGUGAGCAGCCAGUAUAAUAUGGCUGGGGUCAGGACAGAAGAUUCAGUAAGAGAUUAUGAAGAUGGGAUGGAGGUGGAUACCACACCAACAGUUGCUGGACAGUUUGAGGAUGCAGAUGUUGAUCACUGAAAAUGAUUUAUGCAGGUUUAAGAUUCUGCUCCUAACUGUAGGAGAGAACUUGGUGCCUCUUCCACUCUGGAGUGAAGUUGAUGGAAGUCUUUUUCCUUUUCCACAACCCAACCUGAACCAGUUCCUUCUUGAGACAGACUAUACUGAGACAAUAAGUUGUCACCAGCAGAAGAUAGAUAAUAUGACCUUUAUUAACUUGAUGAAUUAACUUAACCAAGAGGGUAUUUGUAGUUUAUUAUUUACCCCAAAACUUUCUGUGUCUGGGUACCCUCUGAGUAGGCCUAUAAUUCCUGCCUUGACUAUGUGCAUCUUUUGUAAGCUAGCAGAUUUAUGUGGUGAAAAUGCACAGGAGCUUGGUGUAGGUAGACUGGGUAGGAAAGAGAGAGCUCCUUUUGCCAUGUUUUAUCAGUCUGCUGUUACAAACUCUUAGGUUAUAUCCUUUAAUUUCCAGCCUUUUAGGUUAGUUUCUGUAACAGAGCAAGUGAGUCUUGGAUGAAGUCCUCAAAGUACUUCAAAUGGUAAUUGUUUUGUUUUUGUAAUAGCUUAACAAAUAAACCUAGGUUUUCUAUAAAAAAAAAAAA